rnacentral:tRNA from 1 species
GGCAAUAUGGCCGAGUGGUCUAAGGCGCCAGAAUCAGGUUCUCCAGAGAAUAAUCUGGUCCGAAAGGGCGAGGGUUCGAAUCCCUCUGUUGUCA